rnacentral:rRNA from 1 species
CGGGAGGGUGCAAGCGUUGUUCGGAAUUAUUGGGCGUAAAGGGCGUGUAGGCGGCUCGUUAAGUCUGAUGUGAAAGCCCUGGGCUCAACCCAGGAAGUGCAUUGGAAACUGGCGAACUUGAGUACGGGAGAGGGCAGUGGAAUUCCUGGUGUAGGAGUGAAAUCCGUAGAUAUCAGGAGGAACACCGGUGGCGAAGGCGGCUGCCUGGACCGAUACUGACGCUGAGACGCGAAAGCGUGGGGAGCAAACAGGAUUAGAUACCCUGGUAGUCCACGCCGUAAACGAUGAGAACUAGGUGUUGCGGGUAUUGACCCCUGCAGUGCCGCAGCUAACGCAUUAAGUUCUCCGCCUGGGAAGUACGGUCGCAAGACUA